GGGAACGAUAACGGCGUCGAGCGGCGGACGGGUGAGUAAUGCCUAGGAAAUUGCCCUGAUGUGGGGGAUAACCAUUGGAAACGAUGGCUAAUACCGCAUAAUACCUUCGGGUCAAAGAGGGGGACCUUCGGGCCUCUCGCGUCAGGAUAUGCCUAGGUGGGAUUAGCUAGUUGGUGAGGUAAUGGCUCACCAAGGCGACGAUCCCUAGCUGGUCUGAGAGGAUGAUCAGCCACACUGGAACUGAGACACGGUCCAGACUCCUACGGGAGGCAGCAGUGGGGAAUAUUGCACAAUGGGCGCAAGCCUGAUGCAGCCAUGCCGCGUGUGUGAAGAAGGCCUUCGGGUUGUAAAGCACUUUCAGUCGUGAGGAAGGUAGUGUAGUUAAUAGCUGCAUUAUUUGACGUUAGCGACAGAAGAAGCACCGGCUAACUCCGUGCCAGCAGCCGCGGUAAUACGGAGGGUGCGAGCGUUAAUCGGAAUUACUGGGCGUAAAGCGCAUGCAGGUGGUUUGUUAAGUCAGAUGUGAAAGCCCGGGGCUCAACCUCGGAAUAGCAUUUGAAACUGGCAGACUAGAGUACUGUAGAGGGGGGUAGAAUUUCAGGUGUAGCGGUGAAAUGCGUAGAGAUCUGACGGAAUUCCC
rnacentral:rRNA from 1 species